GUGAGCUAGCGAGCAAGUUACUUCAUUAUAACGAAGAGGAAACUCCUCCCUCAUAACGGGUACCUGAAUUAGCGAUAAUUAGAAGGAGACUUCUGGCAACGAAAUAGAAAAGUAUUCAGCUGACAUCGAAAGCGAUGAUGAUUGAUAAUCUGAGUGAUUUCAGUUUGAAAUGAAACUGUCGCCCCAGGUAGAGAAAGGCCAAACAGAGUAAAACCCCGUAUUAAUACUCAGGUAGGCUGCUUAGCUGAAUCUUGCCUAAAACAAAAGGAGGGUUACUACUAGGACAC
rnacentral:RNase_P_RNA from 1 species